UCGGAGGCAGUGGCAGACGGGUGAGUAACGCGUGGGAAUCUACCUAGUUCUACGGAACAACAGUUGGAAACGACUGCUAAUACCGUAUACGCCCUACGGGGGAAAGAUUUAUCGGAAUUAGAUGAGCCCGCGUAAGAUUAGCUAGUUGGUGGGGUAAUGGCCUACCAAGGCGACGAUCUUUAGCUGGUCUGAGAGGAUGAUCAGCCACACUGGGACUGAGACACGGCCCAGACUCCUACGGGAGGCAGCAGUGGGGAAUAUUGGACAAUGGGCGCAAGCCUGAUCCAGCCAUGCCGCGUGAGUGAUGAAGGCCUUAGGGUUGUAAAGCUCUUUCAGUGGGGAAGAUAAUGACGGUACCCACAGAAGAAGCCCCGGCUAACUUCGUGCCAGCAGCCGCGGUAAUACGAAGGGGGCUAGCGUUGUUCGGAUUUACUGGGCGUAAAGCGCACGUAGGCGGAUUGGUCAGUUAGGGGUGAAAUCCCAGAGCUCAACUCUGGAACUGCCUUUAAUACUGCCAGUCUCGAGUCCGGAAGAGGUAAGUGGAACUCCUAGUGUAGAGGUGGAAUUCGUAGAUAUUAGGAAGAACACCAGUGGCGAAGGCGGCUUACU
rnacentral:rRNA from 1 species